UAUAUAAGCUACUAAAAAUGAUGAUAGAAAAAGAUUUAAAUGCUAUUAGAAGAUAAGAAAAACUACUGAAGUUGCUUUUGUCAUCAUUAGAUUAUUUUCCUUAAUGUUGAAAAUGGUUUUAAAUUUGUAAAUUUGAUGUGGAAUUUACUGUAUUAAUCAUUAGUCAACAGUUAAAGAGAAGCUGAAUCUUAAUUAAGCAUUGCUGGAAAUUAACUUUUAAUUAAGGUUAUUCAAAUGAGGCGAAUGGGAAAAGCGACUCCACGGAAAGCAUUUUAAAAUAUUCUGUUAUCAUGGAACACAGGCAUUAUUUAACUCCUUGUUAUAAAUGCAUAAAAGAAUGUUUGUAGCGAGUUUGUAGCUAUUUCAUCUUAUAUAUUACUGAAAUAUUUUUGUUAACAGAAAAUAGCAGAAUGUGAAACAAUACUACUGUUGGUGACAAAAUUAGUUAUGAUGCAAGCAAAUUGAGGAUGCCAUUGGCGACAUAUUUAAACGACCCCAAGAAAUAAUAUUUUUGCUAGAUUGUAUUUAUAUAUUAAUAUUGUCAAAAAUAUUAUUCGUUUUG